GAUGAACGCUGGCGGCGUGCUUAACACAUGCAAGUCGAACGGAAAGGCCCAAGCUUGCUUGGGUACUCGAGUGGCGAACGGGUGAGUAACACGUGGGUGAUCUGCCCUGCACUUCGGGAUAAGCCUGGGAAACUGGGUCUAAUACUGGAUAGGACCACUUCUUGGAUGGUGUGGUGGAAAGUUUUUUCGGUGUGGGAUGAGCUCGCGGCCUAUCAGCUUGUUGGUGGGGUAAUGGCCUACCAAGGCGUCGACGGGUAGCCGGCCUGAGAGGGUGUACGGCCACAUUGGGACUGAGAUACGGCCCAGACUCCUACGGGAGGCAGCAGUGGGGAAUAUUGCACAAUGGGCGCUAGCCUGAUGCAGCGACGCCGCGUGGGGGAUGACGGCCUUCGGGUUGUAAACUCCUUUCGCUAGGGACGAAGCGUUUUUGUGACGGUACCUGGAGAAGAAGCACCGGCUAACUACGUG
rnacentral:rRNA from 1 species